rnacentral:rRNA from 1 species
CCUACGGGUGGCAGCAGCAAGGAAUUUUCCGCAAUGGGCGAAAGCCUGACGGAGCAACGCCGCGUGGGGGAGGACGCCCUUCGGGGUGUAAACCUCUUUUCUCGGGGACGACGAGCGACGGUACCCGAGGAAGAAGGACCGGCAAACUACGUGCCAGCAGCCGCGGUAAUACGUAGGGUCCGAGCGUUGUCCGGAGUUACUGGGCGUAAAGCGCGCGCAGGCGGCGGUCCAAGUCUGGCGUGAAAGCCCCCGGCUCAACUGGGGAGGGUCGUCGGAGACUGGGUCGCUUGAGGGUGCCAGGGGUCGGUGGAAUUCCCGGUGUAGUGGUGAAAUGCGUAGAGAUCGGGAGGAACACCUGCGGCGAAGGCGGCCGGCUGGGGCACAUCUGACGCUGAGGCGCGAAGGCGUGGGGAGCGAACGGGAUUAGAUACCCCUGUAGUC